UACAGAGGGUGCGAGCGUUAAUCGGAAUUACUGGGCGUAAAGCGUGCGUAGACGGUUAUUUAAGUCGGGUGUGAAAGCCCCGGGCUCAACCUGGGAAUUGCAUUCGAGACUGAAUAGCUAGGGUACGGUAGAGGGAAGUGGAAUUUCCGGUGUAGCGGUGAAAUGCGUAGAUAUCGGAAGGAACAUCAGUGGCGAAAGCAACUUCCUGGACCAGUACCGACGUUCAGGCACGAAAGCGUGGGGAGCAAACAGG
rnacentral:rRNA from 1 species